rnacentral:rRNA from 1 species
AGCAGCCGCGGUAAUUCCAGCUCCAAUAGCGUAUAUUAAAGUUGUUGCAGUUAAAAAGCUCGUAGUUGAAUUUCGGGAUCAAUAUGUCUGUCGUGCCUUCGGUACGUACGGGUAUAAUUGGUUUCUACCUUCUGAUGAACCUUGAUGCCAUUAAUUUGGUGUCUUGGGGACUCAGGACUGUUACCUUGAGAAAAUUAGAGUGUUUAAAGCAGGCAUACGCUUGAAUACAUUAGCAUGGAAUAAUGAAAUAGGACGUUCGAUUCUAUUUUGUUGGUUUCUUAGGAUCGACGUAAUGAUUAAUAGGGAUAGUUGGGGGCAUUAGUAUUCAAUUGUCAGAGGUGAAAUUCUUGGAUUUAUUGUAAGACUAACUACUGCGAAAGCAUUUGCCAAGGAUGUUUUCAUUAAUCAAGAACGAAAGUUAGGGGAUCGAAGACGAUCAGAUACCGUCGU